rnacentral:rRNA from 1 species
CGAUUGAACGCUGGCGGCAUGCCUAACACAUGCAAGUCGAACGGCAGCAUGAGGUGUAGCAAUACACCUUGAUGGCGAGUGGCGGACGGGUGAGGAAUGCAUCGGAAUUUGCCCAGCGUGGGGGAUAACCCGGGGAAACCCGGACUAAUACCGCAUACGACCGAGAGGUGAAAGCGGGGGACCGUAAGGCCUCGCGCGAUUGGAUGAGCCGAUGCCGGAUUAGCUAGUUGGCGGGGUAAUGGCCCACCAAGGCGACGAUCCGUAGCUGGUCUGAGAGGAUGAUCAGCCACACUGGGACUGAGACACGGCCCAGACUCCUACGGGAGGCAGCAGUGGGGAAUAUUGGACAAUGGGCGCAAGCCUGAUCCAGCCAUGCCGCGUGAGUGACGAAGGCCUUAGGGUUGUAAAGCUCUUUUGGCGGGGACGAUAAUGACGGUACCUGCAGAAGAAGCACCGGCUAACUACGUG